rnacentral:rRNA from 1 species
CGGCGGACGGGUGAGUAACGCGUGGGUAACCUGCCUCAUACAGGGGGAUAACAGUUGGAAACGGCUGCUAAUACCGCAUAAGCGCACAGUACCGCAUGGUACCGUGUGAAAAACUCCGGUGGUAUGAGAUGGACCCGCGUCUGAUUAGCUAGUUGGCAGGGCAACGGCCUACCAAGGCGACGAUCAGUAGCCGACCUGAGAGGGUGACCGGCCACAUUGGGACUGAGACACGGCCCAAACUCCUACGGGAGGCAGCAUG